AAGGCGGUUGGUUAGGUAAAUCCAACCGCUUGUGCCGGUUGUCGGAUGUUUCAGGCUCCGGUCUCGGUUUCCUUG
rnacentral:tRNA from 1 species